rnacentral:piRNA from 1 species
UGUUGGGAGCCUGAGCAUCACUGAGAA